UCCUCCAACUUCCUGCCAUGAUUGACUUG
rnacentral:piRNA from 1 species